rnacentral:rRNA from 1 species
CCUACGGGAGGCAGCAGUGGGGAAUUUUGGACAAUGGGCGCAAGCCUGAUCCAGCCAUGCCGCGUGCAGGAUGAAGGCCUUCGGGUUGUAAACUGCUUUUGUACGGAACGAAAAGGUGCCUUCUAAUAAAGGGCGCUCAUGACGGUACCGUAAGAAUAAGCACCGGCUAACUACGUGCCAGCAGCCGCGGUAAU